rnacentral:rRNA from 1 species
GACGAACGCUGGCGGCGUGCCUAAUACAUGCAAGUCGAACGAGUGGCGGACGGGUGAGUAAUGUCUGGGAAACUGCCUGAUGGAGGGGGAUAACUACUGGAAACGGUAGCUAAUACCGCAUACCAUCGGAUGUGCCCCGAGGGGAUUAGCUAGUAGGUGGGGUAACGGCUCACCUAGGCGACGAUCCCUAGCUGGUCUGAGAGGAUGACCAGCACCACUGGAAUUGAGACAAGGGCCAGACGCCUAAGGGAGGCAGAAGUGGGGAAUAUUGCACAAUGGGCGCCAGCCUGAUGCAGCCAUGCCGCGGGUAUGAAGAAGGCCUUCGGGUUGUAAAGUACUUUCAGCGGGGAGGCGUUACCCGCAGAAGAAGCACCGGCUAACUCCGUGCCAGCAGCCGCGUUAAUAC